AUUGAACGCUGGCGGCAUGCCUUACACAUGCAAGUCGAACGGCAGCACGGGGGCAACCCUGGUGGCGAGUGGCGAACGGGUGAGUAAUACAUCGGAACGUGUCCUGUAGUGGGGGAUAGCCCGGCGAAAGCCGGAUUAAUACCGCAUACGAUCUACGGAGGAAAGCGGGGGAUCUUCGGACCUCUCGCUACAGGGGCGGCCGAUGGCGGAUUAGCUAGUUGGUGGGGUAAAGGCCUACCAAGGCGACGAUCUGUAGCUGGUCUGAGAGGACGAUCAGCCACACUGGGACUGAGACACGGCCCAGACUCCUACGGGAGGCAGCAGUGGGGAAUUUUGGACAAUGGGCGCAAGCCUGAUCCAGCAAUGCCGCGUGUGUGAAGAAGGCCUUCGGGUUGUAAAGCACUUUUGUCCGGAAAGAAAUCCUUCGAGCUAAUAUCCGGA
rnacentral:rRNA from 2 species